rnacentral:rRNA from 1 species
AGUGAACGCUGGCGGUAGGCCUAACACAUGCAAGUCGAACGGCAGCGCAGUAAGAGCUUGCUCUUACGGGUGGCGAGUGGCGGACGGGUGAGGAAUACAUCGGAAUCUACUUUUUCGUGGGGGAUAACGUAGGGAAACUUACGCUAAUACCGCAUACGACCUACGGGUGAAAGCAGGGGAUCUUCGGACCUUGCGCGAUUGAAUGAGCCGAUGUCGGAUUAGCUAGUUGGCGGGGUAAAGGCCCACCAAGGCGACGAUCCGUAGCUGGUCUGAGAGGAUGAUCAGCCACACUGGAACUGAGACACGGUCCAGACUCCUACGGGAGGCAGCAGUGGGGAAUAUUGGACAAUGGGGGCAAGCCUGAUCCAGCCAUACCGCGUGGGUGAAGAAGGCCUUCGGGUUGUAAAGCCCUUUUGUUGGGAAAGAAAAGCAGCAGGUUAAUACCCCGCUGUUCUGACGGUACCCAAAGAAUAAGCACCGGCUAACUUCGUG